GACCGGAUGGUGUAGUGGUUAGUGACUACUGAGCCGAAGGUCCCGGGUUCGAUUCCCGGCCGGGGCA
rnacentral:tRNA from 1 species